UCCUACGGGAGGCAGCAGUGGGGAAUUUUCCGCAAUGGGCGAAAGCCUGACGGAGCAAUACCGCGUGAGGGAUGACGGCCCUAUGGGUUGUAAACUUCUUUUGAAUAGGAAGAAACUUAUCUACGUGUAGAUAACUGACGGUACUAUUAGAAUAAGGAUCGGCUAACUCCGUGCCAGCAGCCGCGGUAAUACGGAGGAUCCAAGCGUUAUCCGGAUUCAUUGGGUUUAAAGGGUCCGUAGGCGGGUCUUUAAGUCAGUGGUGAAAGCCGACAGCUCAACUGUCGAACUGCCAUUGAUACUGGAGACCUUGAGUACAAAUGAAGUAGGCGGAAUGAGUCAUGUAGCGGUGAAAUGCAUAGAUAUGACUCAGAACACCGAUUGCGAAGGCAGCUUACUAACAUGUAACUGACGCUGAGGGACGAAAGCGUGGGGAGCGAACAGGAUUAGAUACCCUGGUAGUCCACGCCGUAAACGAUCAUCACUCGCUGUUGGCGAUAUACUGUCAGCGGCCAAGCGAAAGUAUUAAGUGAUGCACCUGGGGAGUACGCCGGCAACGGUGAAACUCA
rnacentral:rRNA from 1 species